rnacentral:rRNA from 2 species
UACGGAGGAUCCGAGCGUUAUCCGGAUUUAUUGGGUUUAAAGGGAGCGUAGGCGGCCCUCUAAGUCAGGGGUGAAAGACGGCAGCUCAACUGUCGCAGUGCCCUUGAUACUGGGGGGCUUGAAUGCACCUGAGGCAGGCGGAAUGUGGCAAGUAGCGGUGAAAUGCAUAGAUAUGCCACAGAACACCGAUUGCGAAGGCAGCUUGCUAAAGUGCUAUUGACGCUGAGGCUCGAAAGCGUGGGGAUCGAACAGG